rnacentral:sRNA from 1 species
AGAGUGGCCUGGCUGUGAUGUGACCAUCCUACUGCUCCUGAGAUUGGCUCUGGCUGAUCUGGCCGGCUGGUGUCUCUUCCCUCCUUACACCUCAGUGCCUGUCCCUCCCACAUCUGGGCUCAGGGAGUGAGGGUGAGCUCCUUGCCCGGAGGAGUGCUAUCACUUGAUCAGAGGUAUGCAGGUGGCUGUGCUUCUCUGUUUAAGACUCAGCAAAAGACAAAGUAGAGAAAUCGUGAAGUGAGGAGCCAAUCUUGCUGCCUGUCGGUAGGUUUUGUGCAAUCGUAUAAAUAAUUCAUGAUUUAUGCA